GGGGGAUUAGCUCAGCUGGUUAGAGCGCUUGCAUGGCAUGCAAGAGGUCAUCGGUUCGAAUCCGAUAUUCUCCACAA
rnacentral:tRNA from 1 species